rnacentral:rRNA from 1 species
CAAGAGCGUAUAUUAAAGUUGCUGCGGUUAAAAAGCUCGUAGUUGGAUUUCAGUCUAGGAAGGUUAACUCGCCGAAAGGUUGUACGUUGAUCUUCCUCAGACUUCGUCAGAAGCUCGUGCUGCACUUAACUGUGUGGUACGAUGUUCUGACCUUUUACCUUGAGGAAAGUAGAGUGUUUCAGGCAGGCUACCCAGCUUGAAUACAUUAGCAUGGAAUAAUGAAAUGGAUCUCGGUUCGAUUUCGUUGGUUCUAGAGCUGAGGUGAUGAUCAAUAGGAACAGGCGAAGGUAUUCGUACUUGAGAGUGAGGAGUGAAAUCCGAUGAUCUCUUAAAGACGAUCCGAGGCGAAAGCAUUUGUCAAGGAUGUUUUCAUUGA